GAUGAAGAACGUAGCGAAAUGCGAUAAGUAAUGUGAAUUGCAGAAUUCAGUGAAUCAUCGAAUCUUUGAACGCACAUUGCGCCCCUUGGUAUUCCGGGGGGCAUGCCUGUUCGAGCGUCAUUUGUACCCUCAAGCUUUGCUUGGUGUUGGGCGUCUUGUCUCUAGCUUUGCUGGAGACUCGCCUUAAAGUAAUUGGCAGCCGGCCUACUGGUUUCGGAGCGCAGCACAAGUCGCACUCUCUAUCAGCAAAGGUCUAGCAUCCAUUAAGCCUUUUUUUCAACUUUUGACCUCGGAUCAGGUAGGGAUACCCGCUGAACUUAAGCAUAUCAAUAAGCGGAGGA
rnacentral:misc_RNA from 1 species